UUCAAUUAUUAUUGACACACAAAAAUAGAAUAUUGCUUUUAAUUUUAAAUGGCUCUAAAUUUAAUAUUAAUGACAAACUGUUUAAUCUCUGGCAUGAUAAAUUCUAAAAACUUUCAAUGUGUAGGGCUCUCAGUGCUGGCUUGUAAGCAGGAUAAUGAAGUAAAUGAACAUUUUCCUACAACAGCUUUCUUGUUCUACCUGAUUAGUUAACUCAGGAUUCAUCUUUUCUCGAAAUUGCUUGCAACCCUGACAUCCUUCAGGGCCCAAUGUUUCUGUGAGGCAACUUCCACCUAUCUCUUCCGCUCUGCCCUCUGCCCUCCAUAUCUGCCACAUUCCAGCUAAAUCCUUUGAUAUUUCCUGGUGGAUUCUCACCCCUCACAGUCAAGCUUACAGCCAAAGUGUUACUCAGAAAUGACUGGAGGGAUCCUUUAGCUGUUGCUGCCCCAUAGGGUUGUGCAUUUUCAUUCUCAGCUUCUUGUCACAAGGUCCUCACAUUCCUCACGUCACCCAAGGAAGAGAUUGCAACAGUGGGGCCUUCAAGAUGCUCCCCCUCCUAAGAUGACUCAGACUACUUCACAGAGAAAAUUGACGAUGCAGGAAGAAAGGCUUCAACUUCCGGUCUCACGCCCAAAAUACAUCUACGUUUGUAUUUGCUCUUUAUCCCUCCUCCUCAUUUCCCUUUUUCUCGAGACAUCCAGUGCUACUGCCCCCAACCUGGCCAUGCUUGCGUUUGCACUUGCACCAACAUUUCCUUCUGCCACACUCACAUGGUCCUUCUUGCCUCCUUUUCACGUCACUUUCAAUGCCCCGUGCUGCCGUGAGAGAUGGAGCUAGCUGCCCUCCCUGGUGCCCUGGCUCUCUGCUCUUGCAAUUAUUGUAGGUUUUGUCACACACUUGGGAUUUCUUACAUGUCCCCUCUCUCUCUCUGGAAUGGGAGUUCCUGGAGGUAGGGACUGCGUCCGAUUUGCCUUCCCAGAAUUAGGAUGAGAGAAGCAGUAGGCUCGGAGGAGGUGCUCUAUGAACCUGGGGGAGAAGGGCGUGUCUCUUGUGAGUCCCGACAGCUGAUGCAUUUGGGCAGAGAGGGGCCUUGAGGUGCUCCUGAGCUCUCCUCUGAUUUGCAGGGCUGUGGCAACUUCAAGGCCUCAGGAAAACCACUCCAAAAACUAUUGGAGCUUCCGUCUUGGUUUAUAUGGAAGGUACUAAAAAUCUCCCUGGUACCAAGUGCUCCGUCUAGACAUAGUAAAGGCUAAAUAAAUAUUUGAUAAAUGAAUGCAUGAACAAUUUAGUGCCUUGAAAUAUUAAUUCUUUCUAUUUCAAAAAAGCCCUAGCAAGAAGGGUAGCCCAUUAAAGAAUAAAACAUCACCUUUAUUCUUUAUUCCAGCAAAGGAAGCAUAUAUUUCUUCAAGUCUUUUUCUUGUAGCAAAGUCAGAAUUUAUUUGAUGUUUGGAGGUGAUUCCCACUGUACUUGAAGCAACCAUUUACUUAACCUCUUCUCAGAGCACUUCACAUGCUGAUCUUAAAUGUGUGUGUGUGCGCGUGUGCACGUGCUCACCUAUUGUUUAUUUUCUUCUGCUUGUGGAAAGGAAAUAUUGUAUUGUAUUUAUACGUCACAUCAGCUUUCUCAGAAGUCCCUCCCUACAGUUGGAGGAACACGCAUCACGCUGAAGUUAACUAUUUCCUGGUAAACCCAGAGCGCACGUUCACACAGACGAGAAGGAAGUCAGAAUGACAAAAUGACUUAAGGUAAACAUGUCUGUGUUGACAUGUCAUUUCCUCAGGUCUCAGGCUUUUUGUGUGACUAAUUUGACCACAGCUCAAUAUAUGGACUUAAAAAAAAUAUUGGCUAAACUGAUCUAAGAAAAAUGUCUUGAGAAAAAUUAAGACUAAAGCUAAUUAUUGAUUAGCUUAGGAACUUGAUCAAAUAUAAUGUGGCGAUCUAUUCAAACAUUCAUCACAAAAGGGAACAGAUGCACUAGAUAUGAUUGAUAUUGAGGUACUUACAUCAUCACAUUUUCAAAAAUUCUGGAGAUGUACUGAAAAAAAUCAAUGACUGAAGAUAUGUGAAGGGUGCUUUCAUUCUUAUUGUGACUCGGAUGUUAUGUGAAAAUUGCAAAGUUAUGACUAAUUCUCUGAAACUGGCAGAAUGAAGAUGAUGCAUCAUAUAUAUUAUGAAAACCUUCAUUCUUCGCGAAUGAAGUACAUCUCAGCAUAAAAAACUCAAAUAUGUUAGUAAAUGUGGUGUUUAUUUCCCCCCCCCCCCAUAUUUUAGAGUCAAGCAAUAUAGACUAUGUCUUGGGGAUACAUAUUCCCAAAGCAGGAUCUCUCUUGGCAUAUAGAUAUAUACAAUUUUUGAUUAGUAUUUAGUAAUAUUGACCAAAAGAAAACUGCCACUUCCAAGCCUGGAGAGUAGGAGUAAGCAAAACCAAGUAGAAUCGUAAAAAUACAAAUUCUUGAGCCCCAUUCAAUGCCAUAGGGGUGAGCCCAGGAAUCUACUUUUUCUGAGCUCUCCAGGUAACAGUGAGGCACAGGCCCCCUUGGGAAGCACUGACUUUCUGCCUGGAAUUAAUUUUAACAUCUGUCAGAAUGCUCUAUUGUACCAGCUACGGGUGCUAAACAGUGUCCCUAACCCAUGACAAGGGAGUAGGGAGAGGGUGUUUCCUUCUUGUGAUAAUAAGUGUGUCUGUGGGAGGGUGACAUCAGCUAGCUGUGACACCUAGUUUGCUCCAUUGGAAUUGUCACUUGACAGAGUUGGUGGGAAACACGGAGAUUAUUUUAGUGUAAUUUAUCAUUUUACAGUUGAGGAUGCAUUGAUAGAGAUAUUAAGUUACUUGGCAAGGUCACACAGAUGGUUCUGGAGAGAGCUGGGAGUAGAACUCAGGUCUCCAGAGACCUCAUCCGGUGCUUUUCUCAUUUAAAAAAAGAAAGCUCUUCCCCGUCAGACUUCAACCUAAUUUUGCAGCCUCAUUUUUUAUCACUUUACUCUAGACACGCUGUUAACUUUUCCUCAGAACUCCCGGCAUUUCAUAACACAGGUGACAUCAGCUGUAAUGCCAGCCGGGUCGCCCUUCUUUCUCUUUUGGUAAAAGCCCUUGACUUCUUGUUAAACCACUUAUCCUUCACUGUUUUCUGGUUUGAGUGGCUUCACCCCAGUCCCUGGCCUGAGGAACAGCAUCUAACCCAAACCAGGAUGGCUGAAGACUGAAUGAUUGGUUUGAGGAGGGCGGGGACUGUCCAGGCCAGUGAGGGACACUCAGAGUACUUUGCUGGAACCCUGGGGAAAGAGCCGCUUUCUCCACCAUGGUUCUCAUGGGCAGGAGGGAGGCUGUUGCUACUGGUGGCCAGAUUUGGCAGCAUUUGGGGAGAGCCUGUCCGAGAAGAAAGCCAAGACAGAAGGAAAAGUCAUGUGGAGAAGUGAGACCGAUUCCUGGUGUUAGAACCACAAGAUCUGGAUCCAGUCCUUCCAUUUCCACAUCAAUUACUGGACUUUUCACAUAUACAGUCAGUAAAUCGACUCUUGGCUUAAGCCGGUUUGAUUGUCUUUUUCCUCCCGCAGAUGAAGGCGAUCCAAUGAAAUACUUGGUUCCGUCACUUUGCAGCUACUAUACUAUUUCACUGUAAUGCCCAUUCUUUAUUUUUCCUCCUGAAAAGCUAUUUCUUAGAAAAGGCAUGAAAGAGUUACCUGCAAUUAUUAUGUUUAUUGUCCACACAAACAGAUUGCUGGGUUAUCAAUAGCCCUGCCCUCAGGUCCGUUAGGCUAAGCAUAUGGGAAGGUGUUUUUCAUAACCAUUAAGAUACUGGCCCACACCCUUGAAAUGUCAUUAAACAAAGAUUCCUGCUUUUGUGGGCUUUCACUUUUUAUGUAGGAAGAGAUAAUUAAAAAAACCAAAAAACUAAACAAGUAAAUUAUUCUGUGGGUUAGAAGAUGAUAAGGGCUAUGUUCAAAACACCACCACCAACAAAGAAAUCAGAGUAAGGGGUACCAGCAAAUGCUGGUGUGGGAGGGUUGCAAUUUAAAAUAGGCCUCACUGGAAAGUAACAAGGAGCAAAGACAUCGUGAUGAGGGAAUCGGGCAAGUGGCCACCUGGGGAAAGAACGUUUUAGGUUUUCAGAACAACCAGUGCCAGGGGCAAAAGGGAGUGUGUCUGUAUUCCAGGAACAGCAAGGAGGCCAGGGGUGCUGCCACAGAGCCAACAAUGCAGAGAUAAAGUCAGAAAGAUCACAGAGGCUCUCUGACAUUCAAAACUCAUGGAGAAGAAGAAAAACCAGCAAGAGAUUGGAAAAGAGUGACCAGUGAUGCAGGAUGAAGACUCCAGAGAAGAGACAGUGACCAACCUUGUCAAAUUGGCUCAUGAGUCAAAAAGAUGAGGACUGAGAUUGGACAGCUGGAUUCAGCAGUGUGGAGGCAAUGAGAUUGUCCUGCAAAGAACUUCUCUUCACAAGUAUCCAUCCAUAUGAUCCAUUUUGAACUUGUCCUAGGGGUAGUCCCAACAAGUAGCUGAAUGUGACUUACUCUCCCCUUCGGAAAUCUGAAAGUAUUGGAGCUCUGAUUUUCCUGCUCUUCUCCCAUUUUAGCUGGUACAAGACCACCCAAUUAGAAGCCAUAUUUCCCAGCCUCCUUGAGCUAGCUCUGAGUCAUGUAACUAAGUCUAGAACAAUAAAGUGUGAGUAGAAGUGA